rnacentral:rRNA from 1 species
UACGUAGGGGGCUAGCGUUGUCCGGAUUUAUUGGGCGUAAAGAGCGCGCAGGCGGUCGUUCAAGUCGCGUGUGAAAGCCCCCGGCUCAACUGGGGAGGGUCACGCGAUACUGAUCGACUCGAAGGCAGGAGAGGGUAGUGGAAUUCCCGGUGUAGCGGUGAAAUGCGCAGAUAUCGGGAAGAACACCCGUGGCUAAGGCGGCUCUCUAGUACGGUACUGACGCUGAGACGCGAAAGCGUGGGGAGCGAACAGG